GGACUUCAAAAUCUUGGGGACAUACAUCUCAAAGGACAUCACCUGGGCAACCAAAACCACAGCACUUGUGAAGAAAGCACAGCAACGACUGUACUUUCUCAGGUCAUUCAACGAAAUCAACCUCUCACAGAAGC